rnacentral:rRNA from 1 species
GUGAGGAAUUUUCCGCAAUGGGCGAAAGCCUGACGGAGCAAUGCCGCGUGAAGGAUGAAGGCCUAUGGGUUGUAAACUUCUUUUCUCAGAAAAGAAUUAUGACGGUAUCUGAGGAAUAAGCAUCGGCUAACUCUGUGCCAGCAGCCGCGGUAAGACAGAGGAUGCAAGCGUUAUUUGGAAUGAUUGGGCGUAAAGCGUCUGUAGGUUGUUUAAAAAGUAUUCUGUCAAAGAUUAGGGCUUAACCCUAGAUAGGCAGAAUAAACUUUUAAGCUAGAGUUUGGUAGAGGCAGAGGGAAUUCCCGGUGGAGCGGUGAAAUGCGUAGAUAUCGGGAGGAACACCAAAGGCGAAGGCACUCUGCUGGGCCAAUACUAACACUGAGAGACGAAAGCGAGGGGAGCAAAUGGGAUUAGAAACCCGGGUAGUCC